UUCCCCUAGUAACUGCGAGUGAAGCGGGAAAAGCUCAAAUUUAAAAUCUGGCAGCCUUUGGUUGUCCGAGUUGUAGUCUGGAGAAGYGUCUUCCGCGCUGGACCGUGUACAAGUCCCUUGGAAUAGGGCGUCAUAGAGGGUGAGAAUCCCGUCUUUGACACGGACUCCCAGUGCUUUGUGAUGCGCUCUCAAAGAGUCGAGUUGUUUGGGAAUGCAGCUCAAAAUGGGUGGUAAAUUCCAUCUAAAGCUAAAUAUUGGCGAGAGACCGAUAGCGAACAAGUACCGUGAGGGAAAGAUGAAAAGCACUUUGGAAAGAGAGUUAAACAGUACGUGAAAUUGCUGAAAGGGAAACGCUUGAAGUCAGUCGCGUCAUGCAGAACUCAGCCUGGCUUUUGCUYGGUGUAUUUUCUGCAUGACGGGCCAGCAUCAGUUUUGGUCGCUGGAAAAAGUCUUCAGGAAUGUGGCACCUUCGGGUGUGUUAUAGCCUGGAGUCGUAUACAGCGGCUGGGACUGAGGAUCGCAGCGCGCCUUUAUGGCUGGGGUUCGCCCAC
rnacentral:rRNA from 1 species